UUCUCUUUCCGGUGGGGGAUUUGGGUCCUUUCUGUGCGGAGCCUGAAAACACGCCUGUAGCGGACAUGUCUGGAAGAGACGGUGGUAAGAAGAAACCUCUAAAACAGCCCAAGAAGCAGUCAAAGGAUAUGGAUGAUGAGGACAUGGCUUUUAAACAGAAACAAAAAGAAGAACAGAAACAGCUGGAGGCGUUGAAGGCCAAAGCGUCUGGAAAGGGACCUUUAGCUAGCGGUGGAAUCAAGAAAUCGGGAAAGAAAUGAGUGGGAAUUCUGAGAUAAUGGGAGGGAGGACUGGGAUCAAGGGACCUCCAUUUCUUCAUGACUGAAAAAAAAAUCCUCUUAAGAAAAUCUCAACACUCUCCAGAAAUGCCAAGGCACAAAAUUGAAGAUCCUGAAUUAACAACUUUGCAAUUCUUCAGUUUUAACAAAUUUGAUUUCACUAGAUGUGCUGUAAUAUGUCAUGAAAGCUACACUCAUGUUGCAUAACUGUGUGUGGUUUAUAAGAAGAAAACCCCUUUCCAAAUCUCUGUCGAGACAAUAAACUAGACAGCAGAGGUGUGGCA